UUAAGUUCUAAACACCAAUUUUCUCUUAUUGCAGCGUCUCCGCAGUAGAUUCCACAUUUUGACAUGGUGCUUUGUCGGAUUUUUUUGCAAUUUUUACUAGGUAACGAAUUACUCAUGCCUGUGGCAUUCCCUGUAAGCUAGAUUUUACGGGCAGAGAAAUACUCCUCCUAUGUUGAAGCUUCAGUUUUGGGAAAGAUGGAUACCCCACAAAUAAAAAAGAUUCUCAUUCGGUGAAGGAAGCUCAUGAUAAGGAUACCAAAAUCUAUGAUCAUAUAACAAUGGUCGAGAAAGAAGCACUGUUGUUGCAAUGAUGCAUCAAAAAAUGAGAGGAAACAAGUGAUCGUCUUCUUGCAAAUACAAGUCCUGUCUACAGAUCUCAAAUGCAGAGUCUAAGGUUUUUCCCUCAUUGGAGCUCUUGGCAAGGGGAAAGAUGUGAUUCAUCCUUUUCAUAUUUUUUCUAUAUAAAAGAUUAUAUAGUGGGGAGUCAUCUGAAUUGCAUCGAGAUAAUGCCAACCUAUUCCCUUCUACAACGGAUCUAGAGCAACUAGCAGGUUCCUACAACUUAGCCUAAUGCACAAAGUGUGGAAUCAGAUUCCGGAUGUAAUAUGCUUAAUGGCAGCUAGGUUAUAUGUGAAACUGCAUAUGUUUUUGCUAGACAAUAUGGAGGGUUAGUGUGCUGUCCUCAGGAGAAGGCUCGGACUUGCACAAAUUUGAAGCAAUUUUCACAUUGUCAAAUGUGAUAAUUCUUUUCUUUAGGAGGGCUUUAUCUUACAAAGAGUCUGAAGGGGUGGGUGCACUUCCAAGUGCAUUGUAGCCAUAUCUUUGUCAUCAUGCGCCCAAGCACGGAAUAGAGCAUUGGAUUGCGAUUCUACUGCACACUUGGAAUAAUAGGUGUAUUUGUUUGAGGGAACCAAUUUUUUAGAUUAAUCUGGCAGAUUAACCUUAGAUAAUCUUGGUUGAUGACCUUUUCAGCAUCACCGUCUCUUUUAUAAAUUUGCAGAACUUUGUAGGUUGUAGCUUAUAGAGUAUUAUGCAAAUGUCUUCAUCUAUUUUCCGGUGCAAGUCACAAUUUCAAUUUUUGAGUUUUAAAAGUA